UGCCAGGACACUCUUGUAAAUGAAGCAUUAUCCUCAGAGAUUUUCUUGGCUGAAAAUUUUUGAAUUACAAGGCCAACUGGAAUUAACAACGCUGCCAAGUUCUCAGGUGUCUGCACUGGGGUUGGAAGUCCUGUGUCUUCAAACCCAGGUUAUACAAGAAAAGAAAAUGGAGGAGGAGGAAAGAAGAGGCAGAUGAAAGACAAGAGGAGAGGCUCAAGCAAACAUGCUAAUCUUAGUCUUCCUGAAUCACUAAGGAUGUACUUUUAGAGCAUCUAAAAUUGAGGAUCUGAGUUACAUUGUCCAAGCUUCUGAGUGCCAGAGCAAUAGGAGGAAGAACUCAGGAUUUCUAGGAAUAGCACAUUGGAAACCACCAGGUUCUGCAUAACCCAGCGAGGGUAAGGAAGAGUGGAAGCCUACACACAUCUCCCAAGGAGGGCAAAGCUAAGUUAGUGAUGGGAAAAGUGGGUCUCUCCCAAAUGACCUCUGCAGUGCUGUCUGGAUGGAGAAAGAAAGGUCUUGAUGAUGCACAGCUUCUUUCCGCAGCCCAUCUCAAUGAUACUCAAAUGUAUCAUUUCCUUGGGAAAGAAUAUCACUUAUAUUAUUCCUGAUAUUGGUUAUAUUGCUUGGUGAAAGUCCUGGUGUGACCUCUGUGAAUGGCGUCUUCCAACAUUCUUAAUAAAUAUU